rnacentral:lncRNA from 1 species
AAAUAUGCGUUGGUACUUAAUGAAUAUGAUGUCAGUUCGGUUGUCAUCUGAGACAUUAUGACUGAUGACAGGACGACAUAAACUGUAUCUGGGAAAGUCUACACAUUCUAGUUAUCAGAUUCACAUGGAAUUGUUGUGCAAUUUAAAUGUUUGAAUAUGAAGCUAUUAGUGAAAAGAUUAAAUGUAAUUUUAGCUUCCAAAUUAGAGAAUUGGGUUUUCAUAAGGUUAGAGCCCUGCUCAAUCAGUGGCCCGCCCCUGUGAAGAGACAUAGGUUAUAAACUAUGAAACACACCGUUCUCUCCCUCCACUAUAUAAGCCCUUGACGAAAAUGUAACCUUCUGUUCCGAGGACGUGAGGACGACGGUCCCAUACGUUAAAAAGGACUAACAUGUCAACUACAGAACUAAGCCAACCUCAGCGUGAGCUUUGGUUGUGAAUGGUAUGAACUUUGAACUCUUAUUCACUAAAGACGUGAGAUAUCCUAGCCAUUGAGUUAGCAACAGCAGCUGUAAACGUGGGCUAGGAAAGGACGGACGACGUAUCCAGUCUAACACACAACGAAGAUACUACAACGUAUCCAAUUUACCACCAGAGACAUUCUUCCGAGGACAGCAAGAUCUCUGUUGGGCAACACGACCAGCAUCUACGACCAACCUACCGAAGCGCAGCUCAGAGACCUGAGCCCUAGGACCAUGCCUCAGGACUACCUGGUAUGAUGACUCCUUGCUGUCCCCAGUCCACCUGGCCGUGUUGCUGCUCCAGUUUCAGCUGUUCUGCCUGCGGCUAUGGAACCCUGACCUGUUCACCGGACGUGCUUGUUGCACCCUCGACAACUACUAUGAUUAUUAUUAUUUGACCAUGCUGGUCAUUUAUGAACAUUUUAACAUCUUGACCAUGUUCUGUUAUAAUAUCCACCCUGCACAGCCAGAAGAGGACUGGCCACCCCUCAUAGCCUGGUUCCUCUCUAGGUUUCUUCCUAGGUUUUUGGCCUUUCUAGGGAGUUUUUCCUAGGGAGUUUUUCCUAGCCACCAUGCUUCUUUCACAUGCAUUGCUUGCUGUUUGGGGUUUUAGGCUGGGUUUCUGUACAGCACUUUGAGAUAUCAGCUGAUGUACGAAGGGCUAUAUAAAUUAAUUUGAUUCGAUUUGAUUUGAUAUAGGAAUCGUUUUACUGUGGAUAUAGAUACUUUUGUACCUGUUUCCUCUAGCAUCUUCAAAGGUCUUUUGCUGUUGUCCUGGGAUUGAUUUGCACUUUUCGCACCAAAGUAUGUUAAUCUCUAGGAGACAGAAUGUGUCUCUUUCCUGAGCGGUAUGACGGCUGCGUGGUCCCAUGGUGUUUAUACUUGCGUACUAUUGUUUGUACAGAUGAACGUGGUACCUUCAGGCGUUUGGAAAUUGCUCCCAAGGAUGAACCAGACUUGUGGAGGUCUACAAUUUGGAGGUCUUGGCUGAUUUCUUUUGAUUUUCCCAUGAUAUCAAGCAGAGGCACUGAGUUUGAAGGAUGGCUUUGAAAUACAUCCACAGGUACACCUCCAAUUGACUCAAACAAUGUCAAUUAGCCUAUCCGAAGCUUCUAAAGCCGUGACAUAAUUUUCUGGAAUUUUCCAAGAUGUUUGAAGGCACAGUGAACUUAGUGUAUGUUAACUCUGACCCACUGGAAUUGUGAUACAGUGAACUAUAAGUGAAAUAAUCUGUCUGUAAACAAUUGUUUGAAAAAUUACUUGUGUCAUGCACAAAAUAGAUGUCCUAACCGACUUGCCAAAACUGUAGUUUGUUAACAAGAAAUUUGUGGAGUGGUAGGAAAAUGAGUUUUAAUGACUCCAACCUAAGUGUAUGUAAACUUCAACUGUGUAAUAUAUAUAUAUAUUUGUACUGGAGGAUAGUUGCCAGGUUCAACAAAAAACCUGUAGAAUGUGUUGUGUCCCCUCUCUGUUAAAAAAAUAACUUGAAUUCCUUCAGUCUUUUGUCAUGUUUUUUCUUUAUACACUAAUGGGCGAUGAGAGAUAUCCAAGUAAACAUCACAAAUUUUGAAUUGUUUUAUGAAAUCGCCAGUGUCUCUCAAAUAUGAGGGCAAUUGUCUUAUACUGGGGCGUAUAACUUCAAUUGAAGUUGUUAGAAUAGUGGAAUACACAAGGUGCAAUAUUCAAAUUUGGGAUUGCAUCAGCAGUUUUCCUCAUGUCAAUCACUGACAGUCACUCAAUUAGCCCAUGUCAGCUAACAUUUUAUAGAUUGAUAGGUAAGUUAGUCUAGCCAGCUAUCUAAACAUUUGGAGCAAUCAUGGCUGAGUAAUCAGGGGCCCUGACCUCCAGGCGUCCCCAUUGAUUUUGUUAGUCCCUCUCACUCAGAUAUCCUAUGCACAUGGCAAAAUGUGUAAAAUUGCAACCAAAUCUUGCUUAGGGACCCAAAAAGUGACUGAUGAUUGGCUGAAAGAAAUCGAUAUAAAGAAAAUUAUGGGAGCUGUUUUGUUAGACUUCAGUGCAGCUUUUGACAUUAUCAAUCAUAGUUUGCUGCUGAAAAAACAGGUGUGGUAUGGCUUUACAUUGUCUGCCACACAGAGGGUGUUCUUUAAUGGAAGCCUAUUACUAAUGACCUUGUCAUGUCCUGACCAGUAUAGAGGAUAUUUGGUUAUUGUAGUUUUGUCAGGACGUGGCAGAGGGGAGUUGAUGUAUGUGUAUGGGGUUUGUCACUGGUCUAUGUCUGUG